rnacentral:tRNA from 1 species
AGUAAGAUCCGCUAAACUAAGCUCUUGGGCCCAUACCCCAACAAUGUUGGUUAAAAUCCUUCUCUUACUA